GUAAAGGCGCGGAUCCUCCCGGGUCGGACUCGUGUGUGCAGUAAAGGCCCAUACAACGCCGUUUUAGAGCCACUGAAGCAGGCUCUAUACGACAUCGUUUAAUCCCCUUUUAAACUACUUCAGAAAACCCUAAAUCCUAAUAUUUCACUCCCUUUAACCGAAAAUCAAAUGCCUCUCACCCUCAGCCGCCUCAAAUUCGGGGCCCCUCUUCGACUCCGACGGAGACCGACAGAAAGGAUUCCGAUGGCGCGCCCAGGUGAGGCUUCUCUUUGCCUUUCUUUCCUUUUAUUUUAUGCCUAUAUUCUUAUAUAUAUACAUGAUUAAAACGAAAAAAAAGAAAGCAUGCAUCCGAAAAUAGAAUGGAAAGGAGAGAAGAAAAUGAAAACCUUCUCUUCAGUUUCGUGAUUUUUUAUUGAUUCUCCUCCCCCUUCCUUUACAAAUCUGUGCUUGGCUUUUAUAUAGCCGAUUUACAAUAUAUUUUCUAUUAUUUUGCACUGUUUCGGCUUCAUCUCUGUCACUAUUUUUUUGCUGCUAUUUUCGUCUUUUUGCUGUUUCUUUUUGGUUCUUUUGCAGGUGUUGAGGGGUCAACGGAGAAAGGUUUUGCUGUUUUGGUGCAAGGUGGUCAGUCCUCGGGCGGUGGGCGUGCUGACACUGCACAUGGGGCAGCGGCGCAAAGGGGGCACUAGAGUUUCUUUUUUGCUGAAAUUUGUUUAGGUUUUGGUCUGUUUGGGUCAUUAGGUUUUUUUUAAGUUUGGACCAUUAGGUUUUUUGGGUUUUAUUUAUUUUGAUUUUGGGUAUUGGGUCUUACUGAGCCCCGGGCUAAAUUGGCCCACUACAAUAUAUAAACACCAAGAGCUAAAUUUAAUUAAUUAUCUUUAAUUACUUACUUUUAAAAUUAAUAGGGAUUAAAUUGAUCAUUUUUAUAAAGGAACAAUUUUUCAAUAUCAAAAUUGAGAAAAGUCGGUAAUGUGUUUUUACCUUAAAAGUUAAUAUAAAAAUUAACACACAAUAAUAAUAAUUAUUAUUAUUAUAAUAAUGGCC
rnacentral:lncRNA from 1 species